UACAGUCCAAGCUAGCUGCCUUCAGGUCUCGAUCGACUUCUGGAAUAAAUUUGCAAUAUCUCCAUCGUAUUGCUCACUUCUCAUCGCAACAUUAAACAAUGCCUCAUCACAAAUAUCUGGCCGUCGGCUCGCAGGACUUUGAAGAUUUAUCUCCUGAAGGCGCGGCCUCAGUUUUAUUGAAUUUUAGAAGUGCCGCUACACGCAACAUUGUCCAGCCAACGCAGGCACCCGAGGGCGCCAGC